AUACUUACCUGGCAGGGGAAAUGCUAUGAUCACAAAGGUGGUUUUCCCAAGGCGAGGCUUAUCCAUUGCACUACGGAUGUGCUGACCCGUGUGAUUUCCCAAAUGUGGGAAACUCGACUGAGUAAUUUGCGGUAGUGGGGACUGUGUUCGUACUCUCCCCUG
rnacentral:snRNA from 1 species